UACGUAGGGACCAAGCGUUGUUCGGAUUUACUGGGCGUAAAGGGCGCGUAGGCGGCUUGUCAAGUCACUUGUGAAAUCCCUGGGCUUAACCCAGAACGGCCAAGUGAAACUGACAUGCUAGAGUGCAGAAGGGGCAAUCGGAAUUCUUGGUGUAGCGGUGAAAUGCGUAGAUAUCAAGAGGAACACCUGAGGUGAAGACGGGUUGCUGGGCUGACACUGACGCUGAGGCGCGAAAGCCAGGGGAGCAAACGGG
rnacentral:rRNA from 1 species